UUUUUAAAUGAAGCAUGCAAUGCCAUAAUGUUGUAAAUGCCAUUUUUCUCUAAAUAUGUUUUAUUGAAGAAAUUAAUUCUGAAUACAAUGUUUUCUGCUGCAAAAAAUUAUUAUGGCAGUAGUGGUUAUAUUUUGAAGUUGAAUUUAUGUGCAAGCCAUAAUGUUUUAAGUACCAAAGUGCAAGUCAUGUCACUUUUGAUGCUUAAGAUGUUACUGCUUAUACUUACAUCAUUUUGUUACUCCAGAGAACUUGUAACCUAAUGUGCUUUUUACCAUUUUAUUGUAAAAUUGAAAUGAAUUUGUUUAAGAGUUGAAGGAAUUUAUUCACUAGCAAAAGUGUUUAUCUUUCUUUAAAAGUUUGUUUUUUGGCAUUUACAGCAUUAUGACAUUGCACAGUUUAUUAAUUUGCAAAUUUUCUAUGUGAGAAAUGAGUGAAUAUUUCAUUUUAAUUUGAGUCUGCAUGAAAUUUCACCCAUUAUGUAGUGUCAAAAAGAGUUUUAAGAUAAAAAUGAAAUGAGUGAUUGAAUUCAUCAUAAACUAAAUAAAUGUUUCAGUUCCAAUUUUAAAACACAAGAUUCCUGUAUUUCAGUAAUUUUGCCAAUAUAUUGUUGUUACAUCCAUAUUUUUUAUACUGCAUUUUUUAUAUUUCUCCAGGACUAUUUUAAUUUCCUCUAAAUGUCAUUCACAAGAUCAAACAUUCUGCUUCCCUGUUGGUCCCUACUCCUAUAAAUGAAUGUUAUUUUUAUUUACAAAAAACAAAAUCUUUAGGGAUAUCAACUUCAUGAAGAAGACACCUCCUUAACAUAAAAUUUUUAUGUUAAGAAGGUGUAAUCUAUCUAAUACUUCUUAAUACAAAAGAAAACAGUUUCAUGGGAUUGAAUGGAAAUAGUGAAGGCCUAAGUGAUGGGAAUAACUUACAAACAGCCAAAACUAUACAGAUCUUAAAAUCCUAUAUGAUUAACCAGGAACUUUCUGCUAGUUUCCCAGUGGUUUGAAAAUGGCAUCUACAUUUUGAUAAUCAAUCAUUGCAUUAAUUUUAAUAUUUCUCUGUUAUCUAUUAUUAACUAAUUUUUCAUGUUUAUUAUUUUAAAUUGUUUAAUCUGUAAUGUUAUUCAUUUUUAUGUAACUUUAUUAUGUCAUCUUUAUCAUUGAGGAUGCAUUUUUUUCCCUGCUUUAAUGGUAAUAGAAUUUUUUUGUAGUUUCUGAAGCAUAGGCCUCAAAAACUUCAUGAGCUGUGCCAUCCAAAGGCAAAAGGUUCUAUCUUCAAAAAACUGAAAAUCAAGUUCCACACUUCAUGCCUAAUUACAGACUCAACGUCUCUAAAAGAACAGUGAUAUGCUCUGUACUUGUAGAAAAUCUACUGAAUGAUGAAUUACAGUUGACUAAAGAGGGGCAGUGCCCGAAACAUGUUAUUGUACUUGUAACCGUAUCAACUAAAUAAAGAUGGAAUAUCGCCAAGUGUUGAAAUAGAAACACACCUUGUGUUAGUGAAUCAAAAAAAAAAGCAUAUAUAUUUAAAUGUAAAAAAGGAAAUUAAAAGAAGCCUAUAUUCUGAGGGAAAUUGAGGACAUGCAAGUUGACGAAGAACUGAGAAGACUUAAAAUGAAUGUUAAAUUAAAGGUGUUUUACCUAGAAAUUGUGUGAUUUACUUCUCUCAUUAUAACAAGUUCCAGUUCACAAGAAAGUUCAAAGUGGACAAAGACAUAAUAUAUUAAGUGCCCUUUUACUUUAUGCUCUUUAUCAUAAAAAUGAAAAUCCUUUUUGUAUUUCUUGUGGUUAGUGACAACAGAUACUAAUGUAGGUUCUUGUGGUUAGUGAGAACAGAUACUAAUGUAGGUCUUUUAUAAAAGUGAAGUGGUGUAACAUAAGAGAUACCUAUAUGAUUUAAUAUUGUUAUUUUUUUAAUUUAUAAAAUAUAAAUAUUUGUAAUAAAAUUUUACGUUGUACCAUAAGUUAUUAAAACUAAAAUCAAUGGAUUUAAGUUAGUUAAUGUUACUCUGUAACUAAUCAUUCGACUCAUAGAAUAUGAAUUAAAAACAAGUAUAUUUUUAUAUUUUCUUUAUUUAUUUCAAACAAAUUAGUGUAUCUUAAGAGAAGUAUUAUAAAAAAAUAGAAAGGUGGUAAAAAUUAGCAUUUGCACUUUUGGCAGAUGUUAAAAGUGUGCUUUCCACAAAUAGCCAUGUUGUAGUAGUUGCAUACGUACUGUGUCAUUUGCAUUUCUUAGAUGGACAAAAAGUACAAAUUCUGCAUCUAUUUGCUGCACUUUUAGCCAUGUCUUCUGUGGGCUUUCCAAUAUUCAGAAUAUCUUCAAUAUUUAUUUUGAU